rnacentral:rRNA from 2 species
ACGAACGCUGGCGGCAGGCUUAACACAUGCAAGUCGAGCGCCUCGUAAGAGGAGCGGCAGACGGGUGAGUAACGCGUGGGAAUCUACCCAUCUCUACGGAACAACUCCGGGAAACUGGAGCUAAUACCGUAUACGUCCUUCGGGAGAAAGAUUUAUCGGAGAUGGAUGAGCCCGCGUUGGAUUAGCUAGUUGGUGGGGUAAUGGCCUACCAAGGCGACGAUCCAUAGCUG